rnacentral:rRNA from 1 species
AUACGUAGGUGGCAAGCGUUAUCCGGAUUUAUUGGGCGUAAAGCGAGCGCAGGCGGUUUUUUUAAGUCUGAUGUGAAAGCCUUCGGCUUAACCGAGGAAGCGCAUCGGAAACUGGGAAACUUGAGUGCAGAAGAGGACAGUGGAACUCCAUGUGUAGCGGUGGAAUGCGUAGAUAUAUGGAAGAACACCAGUGGCGAAGGCGGCUGUCUAGUCUGUAACUGACGCUGAGGCUCGAAAGCAUGGGGUAGC